AUCUCUAUUUCCAAUAUCUGAAUACACAAGGAAACUAUAAUCUCUUCCUUCACCUUAUCGGUCUCUUCCUUACAGCAAUUCAAUCAUACCAAUAACUGCUAUUUCCACCAAUAUAUUCACCCUCAUAAUCUCCAACUAUAAUAUUGCACCUUCACAGCUUUUAGCGCACAAUUAUCCUCAUUCCAAUCACUGGAAUUCUUCACACAGAACUGCCAUUCAUAUUACGGUGUUUCACAUAAACACAGACUCAUUUUCUCAGCUAAAUUACAAUUAGAUUUUAGCAUUCAAUCUUUCUUCUUCUCAAAUAAUACCAAUCACAUUUCCAUUCCAUAAUUCACUUCACAAUAUUCAGAAACUCUCAAUCCUCUUAUUCAAAGAAAAUAACAAACAAAAGAAAAGAGGUAGUACCAAGCUUACUCCGGCUCACAACUAU
rnacentral:lncRNA from 1 species